rnacentral:rRNA from 1 species
UACGGAGGAGGCAAGCGUUAUCCGGAAUUAUUGGGCGUAAAGCGUCCGCAGGUGGCGAUUCAAGUCUGCGGUUAAAGACUGGGGCUUAACCCUGGAAAGGCCGUGGAAACUGAAACGCUAGAGUGCAGUAGGGGUAGAGGGAAUUCCCGGUGUAGCUGUGAAAUGCGUAGAGCUCGGGAAGAACAUCGGUGGCGAAAGCGCUCUGCUGGACUGCAACUGACACUCAGGGACGAAAGCUAGGGGAGCGAAUGGG